UGGGGAAUUUUGCACAAUGGGGGAAACCCUGAUGCAGCAACGCCGCGUGAGUGAUGAAGGCCCUAGGGUUGUAAAGCUCUUUCAGCAGGGAAGAUGAUGACGGUACCUGCAGAAGAAGCCCCGGCUAACUCCGUGCCAGCAGCCGCGGUAAUACGGAGGGGGCUAGCGUUGUUCGGAAUUACUGGGCGUAAAGGGCGCGUAGGCGGCACAUCAAGUCAGAGGUGAAAGCCCCGGGCUCAACCUGGGAAUUGCCUUUGAAACUGAUGAGCUAGAGUCCGGAAGAGGAUAGCGGAAUUCCCAGUGUAGAGGUGAAAUUCGUAGAUAUUGGGAAGAACACCAGUGGCGAAGGCGGCUAUCUGGUCCGGUACUGACGCUGAGGCGCGAAAGCGUGGGGAGCAAACAGGAUUAGAUACCCCUGUAGUCC
rnacentral:rRNA from 1 species